AUUGAACGCUGGCGGCAGGCCUAACACAUGCAAGUCGAACGAGUGGCGGACGGGUGAGUAAUGUCUGGGAAACUGUCUGAUGUAGGGGGAUAACUACUGGAAACUGUAGCUAAUACCGCAUACCAUCGGAUGUGCCCAGAGGGGAUUUGCUGGUGGGUGGGGUAAAGGCUCACCUUGGCGACGAUCCCUAGCUGUUCUGAGAGGAGGACGGGCCACACUGGGACUGGGACACGGUCAAGGCUCCUACGGGAGGCAGCAGUGGGGAAUAUUGCACAAUGGGCGCAAGCCUGGUGCAGACAGGCCGCGUGGAUGAAGAAGGCGUUCGGGUUGUAAAGUACUUUCAGCGGGGAAGCGUUACCCACAGAAGAAGCACCGGCUAACUCCGUGCCAGCAGCCGCGGUAAUAC
rnacentral:rRNA from 1 species